rnacentral:tmRNA from 13 species
UUGAACUAAACCUGUAAGUACGUAUAUUAAUAGACAUUAGAUGGACAUGGGUUCAAUUCCCAUCAGUUCCA